rnacentral:rRNA from 1 species
AUUGAACGCUGGCGGCAUGCCUUACACAUGCAAGUCGAACGGUAACAGCACUUCGGUGGCUGACGAGUGGCGAACGGGUGAGUAAUACAUCGGAACGUGCCCGAGAGUGGGGGAUAACGCAGCGAAAGCUGUGCUAAUACCGCAUACGAUCUACGGAUGAAAGCAGGGGACCGCAAGGCCUUGCGCUCAUGGAGCGGCCGAUGGCAGAUUAGGUAGUUGGUGGGAUAAAAGCUUACCAAGCCGACGAUCUGUAGCUGGUCUGAGAGGACGACCAGCCACACUGGGACUGAGACACGGCCCAGACUCCUACGGGAGGCAGCAGUGGGGAAUUUUGGACAAUGGGCGAAAGCCUGAUCCAGCCAUGCCGCGUGCAGGAUGAAGGCCUUCGGUUGUAAACUGCUUUUGUACGGAACGAAAGGUACUUUUCUUAAUAAAGAAGGACUCAUGACGGUACCGUAAGAAUAAAGCACCGGCUAACUACGUGCC